CGAGGGGAGGGUGGCCUCACUGAGGCUGCCGGCUGCGGAGGGGCCCCGGCGGGCGAAGCCGCGACAGUCGUGGGGGCGGCGGGCCUGUGAGAAACAUGAUGCUCCAGAGCAUAGAACACCUGGAUAAAAUGGGAAAGCUACACAUUUUGCUGGUCGUUUCAGGAAGUGGGAAAGGAGUGUCUAAAGUCUUCUCCAUGCCUGGAACCCAAAUAAUAUUCCUUUACGUGCUAAGUGAUGUCUGGAGAGUGGGAGAGGUUUAAUAAAUACCCUAACCCUAAAGCAUACCCUAACUGUACCCUAACCCUAACCUGUACACUAACACUAACCCAUACCUUAACACGUACCCUAGACCUAACCCUAAACCAUACCCCAGCACUAACCCAUACCCUAACCCUAACCCAUAACCCAUACACUAACCCUAACCCAUACCCUAACCCUAAACCUAACCCUAACCUGUACCCUAAUCCUAAGCUGUACCCUAAUCCUAAGCUGUACCCUAACCCUAACCUGUACCCU